GUCGAUAUGCCUGAUAGCUAAGGAGACAGACUUGAAAUCUGUUGGGCUUCACCCACACAAGUUAGAACCAUGUUAUCGACG
rnacentral:tRNA from 1 species